AGAUUCUUUUGUUAAAUAAAAACAUGACUGCCUAUUUUGCUUGUCAGGACCAAGAUCUCUAGCUAUCAAUGAAAUUUUCAGAGUAGUUUUUGUUGCCUUUGUGUAACCCUGAUAGCAGCUUCUUGGAAGGUUCAGAUGUGUGGCAAAGGAUUUCAAUUUUCCUGUUUACACAAAGGAAACUCGAGGAAGGUUCAGAUUUCUCAUGCUUGGUUCUGUGCUCUCAGGGUUACAUAGACAAAAAUGCCUCCUAUUUACACAAAGGCAACUCGAGGAAGGUCCAGAUUUCUCAUGACUGCUUCUUCGGCAUUUCAUGCCUGUGCCAUCUUAUUAGAAAAUGUAGUUUGUUUUAUAGCUGAUGAUGCUUGAUGCUUUUAUCGAUUAGUAAAUGCUCAGCUUUAGCUCAUAAACUACAUGGCAAAAGCUACUUCCGAUGGGUCUGAUGCAAAUAAUUUUCAUCUUUAGACAUUCCUUUAGUUGAUUAUUUAAUCCUUUUAUAAGAAUCUAUUUAGCUUUGUAUUGUUGCAGUUUCAUUAUAUAUCCACUUACCAAUGCAUCUAAAGAUUCAACAAUGUAGAAUCCAGCAUCAGUCUUGGGACUAGAAAUUGUUUCUUCAUUCCUCCGUGUUGCACUGUAGGUGAUAAGGGGUCGAGGUCGUAUGUUCGUCGUGGCAUCAAUACAGUAAUACACUUCACUUUCCUUUUCCUUUUCCCUUUUUCUGUUCUUGCAUUUAUUUCUUCUUCGCGGACCUCUCUGUCUACUGCUUUAAUAUGGUUCUGAUUGGUGCCCUGCAUCUUCCAAGAUAUAUGGAUUUUGGUCGAGGUAGUCAUCACAUAAGUAAAAUGCUAUCAACCUCUCAAUUUCUGAAUGGAUUUGUUAAAUUGCCUUUCUCUUGUUGGAUCACAUACCUGAUUUGUUUGUUGUCCUUGAAGCAAAUACCAUGACAUGAGCUUGAAGAUUUCAAAGAUACAGAAGGUUGACAGAAAGAGGAUACACUGAUUUCAGCUGCGGACAUUGAGCUGAGUCUCUCCCUAAUAGAUUUGUUUCCCUACAAUAUGGCGGAUUAAUGCAUAUUCUUCUGAAGUCAUAGUACAUUCAUGGUCUGUAUAUAUGUUUGUAUGCUGCAAACCUGAGUCCGGUUUCAAAGUUUGGCCGCAGCUAGCUUGAUUUGGAGACAUUUCCUGUUAGGAGUUAAACUUUGGUUUGGAGGCAUCGAGCUUUGGCUGU